rnacentral:rRNA from 1 species
AUACGGAGGGUGCAAGCGUUACUCGGAAUCACUGGGCGUAAAGCGCGCGCAGGCGGCUAUUUAAGUUGGAUGUGAAAGCCUACGGCUCAACCGUAGAACUGCAUCCAAAACUAUUUAGCUAGAGUGUGGGAGAGGAAGAUGGAAUUAGUUGUGUAGAGGUAAAAUCCGUAGAGAUAACUAGGAAUACCAAAAGCGAAGGCAAUCUUCUGGAACACUACUGACGCUGAGGCGCGAAAGCGUGGGGAGCAAACAGCAUUAGAAACCCUAGUAGUCC